CCUAAUGUUGUUUCAGCCAGGGAACCUAUCCUACAACUAGCAAAUUUGCUUAUCAUUCUUAAAUUUAUACUUCAUGUAGAAAGCUCUCUCCACAGGUGGCAUCAUCAUCCCCAUCAAAGUUGUAAUACAAGAACCAUUUGCCAAGCAAAAUGAGCUUGCCUUUGAUCGAUGGAGAGAAGAGAAAGGAAUUAUUACAUUCUUUCUUUUAGCCUC
rnacentral:lncRNA from 1 species